rnacentral:rRNA from 1 species
ACACGUAGGGGGCGAGCGUUGUCCGGAAUUACUGGGCGUAAAGGGUGCGUAGGCGGCCUGAUAAGUCAAGUGUGAAAUACCCGGGCUCAACCUGGGUGGUGCACGUGAAACUGUCGGGCUUGAGUGCAGGAGAGGGAAGUGGAAUUCCUAGUGUAGCGGUGAAAUGCGUAGAUAUUAGGAGGAACACCAGUGGCGAAGGCGGCUUCCUGGACUGUAACUGACGCUGAGGCACGAAAGCGUGGGGAGCAAACAGGAUUAGAUACCCUGGUAGUCCACGCCGUAAACGCUGGAUACUAGGUGUAGGUACCGUUAGGUAUCUGUGCCGUAGUUAACGCAAUAAGUAUCCCGCCUGGGGAGUACGGCCGCAAGGCUGAA